rnacentral:rRNA from 1 species
AGCGGAGGGAUCAUUACCGAGUUUACAACUCCCAAACCCAAUGUGAACGUUACCAAACUGUUGCCUCGGCGGGAUCUCUGCCCCGGGUGCGUCGCAGCCCCGGACCAAGGCGCCCGCCGGAGGACCAACCAAAACUCUUAUUGUAUACCCCCUCGCGGGUUUUUUUUUAUAAUCUGAGCCUUCUCGGCGCCUCUCGUAGGCGUUUCGAAAAUGAAUCAAAACUUUCAACAACGGAUCUCUUGGUUCUGGCAUCGAUGAAGAACGCAGCGAAAUGCGAUAAGUAAUGUGAAUUGCAGAAUUCAGUGAAUCAUCGAAUCUUUGAACGCACAUUGCGCCCGCCAGUAUUCUGGCGGGCAUGCCUGUCCGAGCGUCAUUUCAACCCUCGAACCCCUCCGGGGGGUCGGCGUUGGGGAUCGGCCCUCCCUUAGCGGGGUGGCCGUCUCCGAAAUACAGUGGCGGUCUCGCCGCAGCCUCUCCUGCGCAGUAGUUUGCACACUCGCAUCGGGAGCGCGGCGCGUCCACAGCCGUUAAACACCCAACUUCUGAAAUGUUGACCUCGGAUCAGGUAGGAAUACCCGCUGAACU